CAAUGUGUGACCCCCAGAGUGGAUCCUCCUGGACAAAAUGUUCAGCACACAGCUGGAUAAAUACAUCCUGUGGUAGAAUGUUUUGAAGAAUAUGGAAGAUCUGAGCCCAAGAUGAUGAAAGUAGUUUCCAGAAAGAAGUAUGGAACAGUACUGUACCUUAAGAAUUCACCAAUCUUUAUCAUAAGACUAAAAAAAAUGAUAUAACAUUUUCAUUAUAGCAGAAAUUUUAUUUUUGCAACUGUGAGGAGUAAAUGUCAUUGAUUUGUUAUUGGACUGAGUCCACAUUGAGGAAAAUAGUUCCUUUUGGCUUU